rnacentral:rRNA from 1 species
GACGAACGCUGGCGGCGUGCUUAACACAUGCAAGUCGAACGGAAAGGCCCUGCUUUUGUGGGGUGCUCGAGUGGCGAACGGGUGAGUAACACGUGAGUAACCUGCCCUUGACUUUGGGAUAACUUCAGGAAACUGGGGCUAAUACCGGAUAGGAGCUCCUGCUGCAUGGUGGGGGUUGGAAAGUUUCGGCGGUUGGGGAUGGACUCGCGGCUUAUCAGCUUGUUGGUGGGGUAGUGGCUUACCAAGGCUUUGACGGGUAGCCGGCCUGAGAGGGUGACCGGGCAAAAUGGGAAUGAGGUAACGCCCAAGAUCCUACGGGAGGCAAGAGUGGGGAAUAAUGCACCAAGGGGCGAAGGCCGAUGGCGGAAACGCGGGGGGGGGAUUAAGGCCUUUGGGGUUGAAACCGCUUUUGGCUGUGAACGAGCGUGGGUGGAGGUAAAGGGUAAAGAAGCACCGGCUAACUACGUG